UGGCGGCAGUAGCGCGGUGGUCCCACCUGACCCCAUGCCGAACUCAGAAGUGAAACGCCGUAGCGCCGAUGGCAGUGUGGGGUCUCCCCAUGCGAGAGUAGGGAACUGCCAGACA
rnacentral:rRNA from 1 species